rnacentral:rRNA from 1 species
UUGUUUUUCAAAACAUGUCUUGAUGAUAAAAUUUAUAUUAAGUCUGGCCUGCUCAAUGAUUUGAUAAUUAAAUAGCCGCAGUAUUUUGACUGUGCGAAGGUAGCAUAAUCAUUUGUCUUUUAAUUGAAGGCUUGUAUGAAUGGUUGGAUGAGGGAAUUACUUUCUUUACAUUAAUUAAUUGAAUUUAAUUUUUAGGUUAAAAAGCUUAAAUUUAUAAGUGGGACGAGAAGACCCUAUAGAAUUUAAUUUAUAUAUUGAUUAUUAUUUAUUUGGUUAUUGAUAAAUUUAAUUACUCUAUAAAUUUUGUUGGGGUGACAGUGAGAUUGAAUUAACUCUCAUAAUUAAAAUUUUAUUUAUUUGUAUAUAAAAGAUCCUACUUUUGGAUAAUUAGAUUAAAUUACCUUAGGGAUAACAGCGUUAUUUUUUUGGAGAGUUCUUAUCGAUGAAAGAGUUUGCGACCUCGAUGUUGGAUUAAAAUAAGAUUUAAGUGCAGAAGCUUAAUUUCUAGGUCUGUUCGACCUUUAAUAUUUUACAUGAUCUAAUUUCCAACCGG